rnacentral:tRNA from 1 species
UAGUGGUUAGCUCAAUGGUAGAGCAUUUCUUUUACACGGAAAGGGUUAUGGGUUCAAAUCCGAUACUACUAA